GGACGCGGAGACGAUCUGUCGGUUGUCAAUGGAGAAGGCGACGGAGAGGACGUCCUUCUCGUGGCCGACGAAGCGGCGGGUGGUGACCCCGGUGGAGAGGUCCCAGAGGCGGAGCUCGCCGUCCCAGGAUCCGGAGAGCGCGAACUGGCCGUCGGAGCUGAGGACGACGUCCUGGACAAAGUGGCCGUGGCCGGUGAGGCGGCGGAAGGGGACGCCGUACUCGGAGCUGGAGUCCUGGGUGGCCUGGAUGGGGUUGGUGAGGUCCCAGACGAGCAGCGACUUGUCGCGGGAAGAGGAGACGAUGAAGGGCGAGUUGUCGAUGGGCGUCGCGAUGGCCGUGACCACGUCGUUGUGGCCGCGC
rnacentral:lncRNA from 1 species